ensembl:snRNA U6 U6 spliceosomal RNA
UUGCUCGCUUUGACAGCACAUAUACUAAAACUGGAAUGGUACAGAGAUUGGCAUGGCCCCUGCGCAAGGAUGACAUGCAAACUCGUGAAGUGUUCCAUAUUUAU